CGUAGGACCCUCUGAGCCAGGUGCGGGAUAUAAUCUCGCGGUGCGCCGUUUUUUAAGCCCGUCGGAAAAGCGCAGUAUUCGGGUGGGAGCGAGCCGAUUUUCCAGGUGCCGUCCGUCACCCCUUUCUUUGACUAGGAAAGGGAACUCCCUGACCCCUUGCGCUUCCGGAGUGAGGCAAUGCCUCGCCCUGCUUCGGCUCGCGCACGGUGCACGCACCCACUGACCUGCGCCCACUGUGUGGCACUCCCUAGUGAGAUGAACCCGGUACCUCAGAUGGAAAUGCAGAAAUCACCCGUCUUCUGCGUGGCUCACGCUGGGAGCUGUAGACCGGAGCUGUUCCUAUUCGGCCAUCUUGGCUCCUGGAUCUCUGUGUCAACCUUCUUUUAUUUUUAAAAGAUAUUCACUGUCUCUUACUAAAGCUUCCUGUUCAAAGUCUGGCUGAGAAUUUUUGCUGCUUCUUUCCCUACCUCCUCAUUUCCGAAGGAGGUACCUUUCUGGCUUCUCUGUUGAACAUUUCCUAAAUAAAGUGUGGAUGAAAAGCAAUAGAGGAAGGAAAUGCAGAAAAUUAUAAGGCUGAAAUAGAAACUGGCCACAGCAGAGAUUAAAGGUAGAACUAAGGUUAAACCAUGACCACUCCUCGAGGCCUUCCCUGGAGAUUCGGGCUCAUAGAUUCCUUCUUUCUCUGAAUUCUAAAGUACUUAUGGAAGAUUCAGCAGAUAAUUUUUAAUGAAUUAAAUUUUAAUACAUCAAAU
rnacentral:lncRNA from 10 species